ensembl:lncRNA
GUAUGCAAGGGUGUACGUGUGUGUGUGUGUGUGUGUGUGAACAAAGACUUCUGAGCCCAUGACCUCUGGGGGUUCUUCAGAGACCUCUGCUUUUCUAUACAAGCAGGAGGUGAAAAGUUCCUGGCCCUGAUAUGGCUGGGAGAAAGUCACUUACUCUUUUUCUAUUGUUUGUUUCAUGUGAUCAAAAGGAAAAAUGAUAUUGUCUCUACUGCUCAGGAGUGCAUGGGAAUUAAUUAAAACCUAUUAAAACCUUUGAUUUCAUUCAUACAGUUCAAUUAAAAAUAUUAAUUGAAUAUCUACUUUAUGCCAACUUUGUUCUACAUGCUGGAGACACAGUAGUGAACAGACUAAAGUAAGCUCCUGAUCAAGCGGAACGUAUUUUCUAGUGGCAGGGCUAGGAAAUAAACACACAGAAGGGUCAAUAUGAUGUGAGUCCAAUGGCAACAGAUGAUAUGGGGGAAAUAAAUUUGAGUGUGGGAGACAGGGUGUGGUGGGAUUGGAAAUAUUUGCCAUUUAUGUGCAUGCAUGUGUGUUUGUGCAUGUGCACACAUGCAGUGGUCAGGGGGCAUCUCCAAGAAAGUGACACUCAGGUGUAGACUUGAAGGAAGUGAGGGAGUGAGCCAUGUGGAAAUGUAGAGGAAGAGUGCUCCAGGCAGAAGAAACAGCACAUGCAAAGGCCCUGAGGUGAAAGCACCGUUGGUAUUUCAAGGAAUAGCCAAGAAGCUAGUGUGGCUGCUGUGGAGUAAUGAAAAGGAGAGGGUGCGAGAGAAAUUCAGAGAGGUAACCAGAGCCAGAUUGUAUAGGACCUCGUAAGCUAUUGUAAAGAUUUUGGUGAGGUGGGCAUCAUUGGAGGGUUUUGAGGGGAGGAGGGGGCAGCCAGAUUUGCAUAUGAAAAGGGUUUUCCUGGCUGCUGAGUGGAGCCUGCUGCUGUAGGGGAUUGAUGGGGGAGGCAGGAAGCCCAGUUAGGAUGCAGUUUCAAUAACCAAGGCAAGUGGUGAUAGUUGAAGGGAUCAGGAUGGACAGGUGAAGGUGGCAGGUGAUGGGGUUUUGAAGGAAGAGCCAAUAAGCUUUACUCCUUUAGAUGCAAGGCAGGAGAGACAGGAUCAAGGAGGUCUCCAGGAUUUUCAACUGGAAGAACAGAGUUGCCGUCAACCGAGUCGGAGAGCCCUUCACAAGAAGCAGGCCUGUGGUCCGGCUGAUGCCAGGAGCCAAAGGAAACGUCACAAGAAAAGGAAAGCAAUAUAGGAUAUCAAAGAAAAUGAGCCAAAUCCUACCACCUCAAGAGAGCUGAUAUCUUUAGUUUCCCAUGAUUCUUUCCGUUUCGUAUUCAUAUCCACUCCUAGUUUCCCACCAGGAGUAGUUAACAUUAUUGAGUGGCUAGUAUAGGAGACAGGCAUAUGAUAAGCAUUUCUCAAGCAUUAUCUCCUUGAAUACUCACAACACCCAAGAAUAAAGAUGACAAAAGCUGAGCCAGGUAGGGUAACGCGCAGCUAGUGAGGGGCGGAGCUGGACAUUUCACCCAGGACUGCCUGACUGCAAAAUCCUCAGUUAUUCCCUACUAUGCUGCAUUCCUUUGUUUCACAUAUAUAUACAUAAAACCAGAGAACCCUAAAUCUUAGAGCUUUUGGGGCCAACCUUUCCUUUCUCUUGUGCUGAGAGAAUCCCUCACCUUCCACAAUAUUCCCACAUGCGUCCAGGGAUCACUUCCCUGGAAUGUCUCAAAUAGGGAAGGCAGAGAUCCCCAGGGACAAAUGUGUGGUCCACGAGGAGGUGUACUGACUUGUUACAGCAUGGGACAGUGCUCUGGGGACCAGGGAGUGCUUCAUCGGACGCAGGAAGCCACCAACUUGUUACAGGACUUGGGGAAAUGGUGGGAUUCAGCUAAAAUUCAAAUGAAGCUGUGUUUUAAUGCCCUCAAAGCAAAUAGCGCUGUGUAUAAAGGAAUUAACACCAGCCUGGGCCGAGGGGCAGACUGAGUCCUGUUUCCUUGGAAGCUAUAGGGUCAGGAGAAUGUAGCGUCCAAAAACCCCUUAUCUGAAGCUCUGCAGCUGGGUUGCAAAUCCGGGCUCCUUCUCUGCGUCCAAGACGGCUCGGCUCCCUGAGGUAGGAGUGGGCUAUUCUGUUCUUACUGAAAUGAUUUCAACAGAAAAGUUGCUGGAAGUUUAUAUUUAGAGAAAAACGUUUCUCAUUGACAUGUCUUUUUGCUCAUUAACAAAAGUACUUUUUCACAGGGUCACAGAAUGCAGCUGGCUUCGCUGUUCCCUUUGUUCCUGUGGUUCCCAUCUUUCCGAGCUCUCUCACCCUGCUCUGGUCCUGCGUCUGUCCAUUCCCAUAAGUUCCACUAACAUUGGGCUGCCGAUCGAUGCUUGUUUGCAUGCUUGGGGUCAUGGCGUGGCAUUACAGGACAAUGAAGAUGACAGUGCGAGGUUGCUCUAUCAAGGUGACUGUCUUAAAAAUCGUUUCCUGACUCCAGGAAGUUGCCCAUUGGCCAGUCUUGCUUCCUGCCAUUCAUUUCGGCUUCUGUCCCCUUCUCGGGACUCUUCUCUCCUAGGCCUCCUCUCCCCCAGUUUGGGGCUUCUUACUGUUCCGCUCAACACAAUAUGCUUAAAUACGCCCCACCUUCUUAGGCAGGGUGGUUCCACUCUUUCUUUCCCUUCUCCUUCCAAAUCAUGAUGGUGGCUGAUGGCUCCUUUCCUUUCCCAGGUAAAGGGCCUCCUCAAGGUGGAGUGGUGGGACAGGCGCCUGGCUGCGUGGGCUCAAGAAAGCAUGGGAGAGAGGGAGGGGAGGGGCUCAGAGGGUCUCUAUGGUACGCUCAUAGAAGAGACUAACUCCUCUGGUGCCAGAUAUGCCAUCACGAUAGGCGCUGAAGAUGCAAACACAGGUGUAGCUUGUUUGUAUUUAAAACACAGAUUCUCAGAGCUGCAAUAGCAUUAUAUUAAGAAGAUUUACCUGGUUUAGAAUUGAUGCGCCCAGGAUGAGGAUCUGGUGUCCUCUAUCUUGAAGACAGACUUGGGAGGAACGAAUUGGAAAGAGGCAGCUUAAGCGAUGGUGUUAUCUACGCUGAGCAGGGAGCCAGAAUUUCUCACGCCUGGGCACAUGCCUUGAGUAAUUGAAGAGCUCCAGCUGGGCUGCAGGGCUGACCUAAUCCAAGCAAGGAAACCAGCAGUGACUCAUCUCACAGAGCUGCCACUCAUCUAUUGAAGGCAAUUUUUAUGGAGGGCGUACCUGGUGCCUCGGACUGUGCAAGGCUUAUUGAUAACAGCGCUCCAGUCUCCCUGGGCCACUGAUCAGAUUAAUGUAAGUGAUUAGCAAUGAUUGUGGUAAGAGCUGAGGACGGCUGCUUGUCUACACUGUUGUGAAACGGAUAUGGGCUUUUACCGUCAAAGCUGUCCCGUCUUUAAACAAGAGUCAGAACGGACAGCAGAAUCUGACUUCUGAUGGGCUCCAGAGAACCGCUGCUACAUGUUUAUUCAAAUAACAGUCCUGAUCUGAGCAGUAAUUUGGCUCCAGCAUCCAUAGAAGGCAAGUUGGAAGCUCUGCUCUUCUAGGCUUCUGGCAACUUUGAUUAGAAAUCCAUCAGAGCUCAUAGCCUCAUCUUCUUCUUGUUGCCUCUUUCCAUGUUCCGAUAUUGCCCAGGAGUCCAGGCUGCUUCAGCCUUAAUGACAUGUGGACAUUCUGAAAAUACAUCAGACGCACCCGGCCUAAUACGGACGAUCAGCCCAGGAAACGGGAGCACGGAGAGUGACAGCCACACAGGUCUCACGGCUGUUAUAGGAGGAAGAAAGGACUGCCACUGGGGACCGUGGACCUCCAGUCCUGGGUUCUUCCUGCUCCAGCCACAGACCCUGAACCGCUUAUUGGAACUUCUUUACCAGCAUUAACUUAGGGGUUCCCCACGUGUGUUAACGGUCAUUGUCACCUUCUCACUUACCUUCUCUUUGCUGCAUACAAUAAUAUGCCCUGAAGAGAAAAUACACCUAAGACUAGAGGAAGAGUUUAUUACGCUAUAGACAAACACUUUCUAGAAAGACCAUGCAAUGAUCACCAUGAAAGUUGCACAAAAGAGUAAAUAUAUAUUUUAGGUGUACCACUUCACUCUUUGUGCUCACUCCCCACCCCGCCUUUUCCCUGUAAUCUGUUCUCUUUGUCCACAUGUUUAACUUCCAUAUAUAAGUCGAGUCAUACAGAGAUUGUCUUUUUCUAUCUGGUUUAUUUCACUUCACGUAAUACCCUCAAGGUCCAUCCAUGUUGUUGUGAAUGGGACGAUUUUAUCCCUUUUUAUGGCUGAGAAGUACUCCAUUGUAUAUAUAUAUCAUAUCUUCUUUAUGUAGUCAUCAGUCGAUGGGCACUUGGGUUGCUUCCACAUCUUGGCUAUUGUGAAUAAUGCUACAAUGAACAUAGGGGUGCAUGGGACUUUUGGAAUUGCUGACUUCAAGCUCUUUGGAUAGAUACCUAGUAGUGGGAUGGCUGGGUUAUAUGGUAUUACUAUGUUUAAUUUUUUGAGAAAUCUUCAUACUGUUUUCCAUAGUGGCUACACCAGUUUGCAUUCCCACCAGCAGUGUAUGAGGGUUCCCUUCCCUCCACAGCUUCUCCAGCAUUUGCUAUUUUUUGUUUUGGUUAUUUUAGCCAUUCCAAUGGGUGUAAGGUGCUAUCUUAGUGUAGUUUUGAUUUGCAUUUCGCUGAUGGUCAGUGAUGAUGAGUAGCUUUUCACGUGGCUAUUGGCCAUCUGUAUAUCUUCUUUGGAGAAACGUCGGUUCAUAUCAAUAUGACUGACAAACAAUAAUGUACAACUGAACUUUCACAUGAUUGUAAACCUUCAUAACCUCAAUAAAAAAUAAAA